AUUAGAGUCCACAUGUCUGAUGACAGUUCUAAAACAAUGAUGGUGGAUGAGAGGCAGACAGUAAGACAAGUACUGGACAACCUGAUGGACAAAUCCCACUGCGGUUAUAGUUUAGACUGGUCACUGGUGGAAACCAUUUCUGAAUUACAAAUGGAGAGAAUCUUUGAAGACCAUGAAAACUUGGUUGAAAAUCUUCUUAAUUGGACAAGAGAUAGC